rnacentral:rRNA from 1 species
GGGGCAGCGGGGUAGUGCUUGCACUACUGCCGGCGACCGGCGCACGGGUGAGUAACACGUAUGGAACCUGCCCGCAGCAGGGGGAUAAGCGGAAGAAAUUCCGUCUAAUACCGCGUAAGAACGUUGGGAGGCAUCUCCCGAUGUUUAAAGAUUUAUCGGCUGCGGAUGGCCAUGCGGCGCAUUAGCUAGUCGGCGGGGUAACGGCCCACCGAGGCGACGAUGCGUAGGGGUUCUGAGAGGAAGGUCCCCCACACUGGUACUGAGACACGGACCAGACUCCUACGGGAGGCAGCAGUGAGGAAUAUUGGUCAAUGGCCGAGAGGCUGAACCAGCCAAGUCGCGUGAGGGAAGACGGCCCUACGGGUUGUAAACCUCUUUUGUCGGGGAGCAAAGCGAACCACGUGUGGUUCAUUGAGAGUACCCGAAGAAAAAGCAUCGGCUAACUCCGUGCCAGCAGCCGCGGUAAUACGGAGGAUGCGAGCGUUAUCCGGAUUUAUUGGGUUUAAAGGGUGCGCAGGCGGAGGUGCAAGUCAGCGGUCAAAUUGCGGGGCUCAACCCCGUACUGCCGUUGAAACUGCAUCCCUUGAGUGCGCGAGAAGUAUGCGGAAUGCCUGGUGUACCGGGGAAAUGCAUAGAUAUCACGCAGAACUCCGAUUGCGAAGGCAGCAUACCGGCGCGCAACUGACGCUCAUGCACGAAAGCGUGGGUAUCGAACAGGAUUAGAUACCCUGGUAGUCCACGCAGUAAACGAUGAACACUAACUGUUCGGCCAGAAUGAUGGCUGAGUGGUACAGCGAAAGCGUUAAGUGUUCCACCUGGGGAGUACGCCGGCAACGGUGAAACUCAAAGGAAUUGACGGGGGCCCGCACAAGCGGAGGAACAUGUGGUUUAAUUCGAUGAUACGCGAGGAACCUUACCCGGGCUCAAACGACACAGGAAUACUUUUGAAAGGAGGUAGCCCUACGGGGUCUGUGUCGAGGUGCUGCAUGGUUGUCGUCAGCUCGUGCCGUGAGGUGUCGGCUUAAGUGCCAUAACGAGCGCAACCCCUAUCGCCAGUUACCAUCAAGUAAAGUUGGGGACUCUGGCGAGACUGCCGGCGCAAGCUGAGAGGAAGGCGGGGAUGACGUCAAAUCAGCACGGCCCUUACGUCCGGGGCGACACACGUGUUACAAUGGCAGGUACAGAGAGAAGCCAGGUGGUGACACCGAGCGGAACUCGAAAGCCUGUCUCAGUUCGGAUCGGAGUCUGCAACCCGACUCCGUGAAGCUGGAUUCGCUAGUAAUCGCG